rnacentral:rRNA from 1 species
GAUGAACGCUAGCUACAGGCUUAACACAUGCAAGUCGAGGGCAGCGCAGUGUAGCAAUACAUGGGCGGCGACCGGCGCACGGGUGCGUAACGCGUAUCCAACCUUCCCGUUACUCAGGGAUAGCCUUCCGAAAGGGAGAUUAAUACCUGAUGGUGUUGAAAUUCCGCAUGUUAUUUCAACUAAAGAUUUAUCGGUAACGGAUGGGGAUGCGUGACAUUAGAUAGUAGGCGGGUAACGGCCCACCUAGUCUACGAUGUCUAGGGGUUCUGAGAGGAAGGUCCCCCACACUGGAACUGAGACACGGUCCAGACUCCUACGGGAGGCAGCAGUGAGGAAUAUUGGUCAAUGGUCGGAAGACUGAACCAGCCAAGUAGCGUGAAGGAUGAAGGUUCUAUGGAUUGUAAACUUCUUUUAUACGGGAAUAAAACCUCCCACGUGUGGGAGCUUGUAUGUACCGUAUGAAUAAGCAUCGGCUAACUCCGUG